CACUGCGAACUCGGCAUUACCCUUUAAAGUGCAAAAAGUACCCAUUUUUUGCAGAUGUAUGGAGCUGUCAAAAAACAGGGUAAUUUUAAAUUUUGCGAAAAGAGUAAAUUUUGCCCUGUUUGAUGAAUGGAGCUCUUACCCAUUUGUGGGUGAAAAACAUCUUGAACUUUUUCUCUGUCCUCCUUUCGGUAAAGCAGUAGGAACAGAUCUUAAAUUAGAUUUUCGUCGAAGUUAGAAAACUGAAGUUGCAGAAAUGAUGGUUUUAUUUGAAACGCCGAUAUCCUUCCAGAAUUUGGGAUCUAGCUUGGGAUGCCAAAAGAUUCCCCCACCAUAAGAAAGAUCCUCCGGAACAUCUCGACAAGCGAACGCAGCACAAUUACUUUCCGGGGACAAUUACUGCAGUAUAGUUCAAAAGCGAAGUAAGGAUUGGUGCAAGAUCGGCCUCACAAUGAAACACUUUAAAACAAUGUUUUCGCAUUACAAGUAGUGUUAAAGUGUAGUCAUUUAUGAUCAUUUCCUAUUGUAUUUAGAUAAAAUAAAGUAUUCUCGUACGUAU